AGUCGUAACAAGGUUUCCGUAGGUGAACCUGCGGAAGGAUCAUUAUAGAAUUGGUAGCUUGCUACCUUCACUAUACUAUACUGUUUACAUUCCUGUUGCUUCCCUGUCAUAUGGAGGUCUUCCACUUGUGGUUGCCCUUCGACAGGGAAAUUGUUAAAACACAUUUUGAAUAUAUUCUGUAUCAAAUUUUAUAAAUUAUUAUAAAACUUUCAACAACGGAUCUCUAGGCUCUU
rnacentral:misc_RNA from 1 species